rnacentral:rRNA from 1 species
AAGAUUAAGCCAUGCAUGUCUAAGUAUAAGCAAUUAUACAGCGAAACUGCGAAUGGCUCAUUAAAUCAGUUAUCGUUUAUUUGAUAGUACCUUACUACAUGGAUAACCGUGGUAAUUCUAGAGCUAAUACAUGCUAAAAACCCCGACUUCGGAAGGGGUGUAUUUAUUAGAUUAAAAACCAAUGCCCUUCGGGGCUCACUGGUGAUUCAUGAUAACUUCUCGAAUCGCACGGCCUUGCGCUGGCGAUGGUUCAUUCAAAUUUCUGCCCUAUCAACUUUCGACGGCUGGGUCUUGGCCAGCCGUGGUGACAACGGGUAACGGAGGGUUAGGGCUCGACCCCGGAGAAAACGCCUGAGAAACGGCGUUUACAUCCAAGGAAGGCAGCAGGCGCGCAAAUUACCCAAUGCCGACACGGCGAGGUAGUGACGAGAAAUACUGAUACAGGGCUCUUUUGGGUCUUGUAAUUGGAAUGAGUACAAUUUAAAUCUCUUAACGAGGAACAAUUGGAGGGCAAGUCUGGUGCCAGCAGCCGCGGUAAUUCCAGCUCCAAUAGCGUAUAUUAAAGUUGUUGCAGUUAAAAAGCUCGUAGUUGAACCUUGGGCCUGGCUGGCCGGUCCGCCUCACCGCGUGCACUGGUCCGGCCGGGCCUUUCCCUCUGGGGAACCGCAUGCCCUUCACUGGGCGUGCCGGGGAACCAGGACUUUUACUUUGAAAAAAUUAGAGUGUUCAAAGCAGGCCUAUGCUCGAAUACAUUAGCAUGGAAUAAUAGAAUAGGACGCGUGGUUCUAUUUUGUUGGUUUCUAGGACCGCCGUAAUGAUUAAUAGGGACAGUCGGGGGCAUCAGUAUUCAAUUGUCAGAGGUGAAAUUCUUGGAUUUAUUGAAGACUAACUACUGCGAAAGCAUUUGCCAAGGAUGUUUUCAUUAAUCAGGAACGAAAGUUAGGGGAUCGAAGACGAUCAGAUACCGUCGUAGUCUUAACCAUAAACUAUGCCGACUAGGGAUCGGACGGUGUUAUUUUUUGACCCGUCGG